AAUAUUGCGCAAUGGGGGAAACCCUGAUGCAGCGACGCCGCGUGAGCGAAGAAGGNCUNNGGGUCNUNAAGCACUGUUCUAAGNNNNNAAACGGACGGGCCACGAGGACGAAGCCCCGGCUACCUACGUGCCAGCAGCCGCGGUAAUACGUAGGGGGCGAGAGUUAUCCGGAAUUAUUGGGCGUAAAGGGUGCGUAGGCGGCCUUUUAAGGCAGAUGUGAAAGGCUACGGCUUAACCGUAGUUAGCAUUUGAAACUAAAAGGCUUGAGUGCAGGAGAGGAGAGUGGAAUUCCUAGUGUAGCGGUGAAAUGCGUAGAUAUUAGGAGGAACACCAGUGGCGAAGGCGACUCUCUGGACUGCAACUGACGCUGAGGCACGAAAGCGUGGGGAGCGAAC
rnacentral:rRNA from 1 species